CAUCAAUGGAGCUUAUCCAGGAGACAAUGGGAGCCAUGAUGCCGACCUCCCCCGGAUCAACUCUCCAGGAAUCUGAGCUGCUGGGUCCAAACGAGACCAUAAACAUGCAUACGUAUUAGGCAUUGCAAGUUUUGUAAUCUCGUUUGUAGUGAUCACCUGUGCUUGCACUGCGUGGGCGGACUUGUGGUUUCUUCUUUAUGUCGUGGAAUCCCUGGGAACAUUUGCAGCUGUCGCUGAAUAACUGAAUAAGGCUCAUUGUCUCCCUUGACAUUUCAAAUAAAUUGAGAACCAUGAGUGUUUUUUUUUUCCAGGUACCAAAAGAUUGGUAGAUAGGGAUUGGGAGUUGUUGGAGAUGUGUUUUUCAAUCUUGCCAAAAAUCAAAGGAUGGGGAGAGUGUUUUGGAAACUCUUGGACAUGCUCUGACUUUCCAUUCAGAACAACUCUUAGUGUCAACCACCUAGACUUACAGUGUUUGUGAUGGCCCCCGGAUAAUCUUUGUGACCAUUUGAUCAUGAAAUUUCUGCAUAUUAUACUGCCAGUUCCCAUCCAACCACACUUCAUGCAAUGCUCCUGCUCGUCUAUUUCUACUAGACCAUACUCAUAUCCGUGACAUACUUAGUACACUUAACAACUAAUCUAAAUGUGUUGCCGGGAUCAAUCAUGAUAGGCCUUGUUUAGUUCCUGAAGCGAAAAAUUUCACGACAUUGUAACAUUUUCGUUUGUUUGUGGUAAUUAUUGUCUAAUCAUGGACUGACUAGGUUCAAAAGAUUCGUCUCGUCAAUUCCAACCAAACUGUGCAAUUAGUUUUUAUUUUCGUCUAUAUUCAAUACUCCAUGCAUGCGUCUAAAGAUUCGAUGUGACAGAGAAUCUUGAAAAUUUUUGGGUUUUUGGGUGGAAGCAAACAAUGCCAUAGAAUGAAUCAAGAUAACAAAAUCAAGGAGUUAAACAAUACCCUACACGACACGUUUCCUAAACCAAGAAAACUACCAUUUUCGUAGUAGUUGGAGAUUCAACUUACCAAAUACGCCAACCACUCGAAUCUAUAUUGCUUCACCAACUACACAUAAGCUGCCUACAAAGCAAAGAAGAACAAAACCCGAAUCAAAUUGAAGAACCCUAACCUUAGUCCUCAUCCAACAAUAUAUUGUAAUGCAGACCACAAAAAAGGGUCAGAUGUAGCCACAUACCUUUUCUCCAUCACAAUAGUAGUCCUGCGAAACAACGCUACAAGGAGGGGGGCAGGGGCUUGUGGGCGAGGGCGCCAGGCGGGCAAGCCCUAGGUUGUGCGGAGCAGAAAAAGAAGGGGACA
rnacentral:lncRNA from 1 species